GACGAACGCUGGCGGCGUGCUUAACACAUGCAAGUCGAACGGAAGGGCCCCUUUCUGGGUACUCUGGUGUCGAACGGGGGCGGAACACUUAAGUAACCUUCCCUUAACUUCAGGAUAACGUCAAGAAACUGGAGCUAGUACCAAUUACGAAUCAUUUCUUCAAGCUGGUGGUUGAAAAGCUUCGGCGGGUUUUGAUGUAUUGGAUGCGUAUCAGCUUGUUGGUUCAGUUAUGGCUUACCGAGGCGGUGUCGGGUAGCCAGCCUGAGUGGGCGACCGGCCACAUUGGGACUGAGAGACGGCCCAGACUCCUACGCGUGGCAGCAGUGGGGAAUAUUGAACAAUGGGCGGAAGCCUGAUGCAGCAGGGCCGCGGGCGGGAUGACUGUCUUCGGGUUGUAAACCGCAUUCAGAAGGGGCGAAGCUUGUGGUGACGGUACCUGAAGAAGAAGCACCGGCUAACUACGUG
rnacentral:rRNA from 1 species